GCCUGCUCAGUCAGUAGAGCAUGGGACUCUUAAUCCCAGGGUUGUGGUUUCAAGCCUCACAUUAAGCA
rnacentral:tRNA from 1 species